GAAAUGCGAUACGCAGUGCGAAUUGCAGAACGCGAGUCAUCAGAUCUUUGAACGCAAGUGGCGCCGGUUAGCAGCCGGCAUGUGAGGCUCAGUGUGUACGGAAAUCACACAGCGGAAUGUGGUUGAGUGCGCGCGCGGCGUCAAGCUUUUGCGCGCGCUCUCCCAUUAAACGCGCGUCUGAAACGCGGUGCGGCGGCGGGGACAUUCGCUCUCGUUUCGCACACUCUCUUCGGAAGUAGUCACUAGCUCCCUAGUGAUCUACGAGGAGACACACAGUGUGCAAGCGAGGGAUCGCCCCAUCACCGACCCACCCACCCCUACUACACCUGAGCUCCGCAAGAUUACCCGCUGAACUUAA
rnacentral:misc_RNA from 1 species